AGACAUGGGGAGCACGUGCUUCCUUCUGGCACUGAGUACAGAUCUCACUCACCAACUAGCCAAAGGAGUUAGCUGAAGGACCUCCUGGUAGAGGGACUGGGGUUUGCAAAACAUGAAGAGUAGAAAGAACACUACACCAGGAGUCAAGAGCUCCCAUCCUAAUCCCAGCUCUGCCAGCAAGUGACCCGCUGUGCUGCCCCAGGUGAGCUGUGGCUAGGCACUACGUCCUGUUCACUCUGGGACCAAGACAGAAGGAGCACCACUAACUGGGACAUGCUGGUGUCACGGCAAAGAGAAAUGACAGAUGGCAGAACCAGGCCAUGUCUAUUAAAGCUGCUGCUCAGAAACAGCAACAUGCCAUUGUUAUUC
rnacentral:lncRNA from 1 species